rnacentral:misc_RNA from 1 species
GUUUUACCACAAAUCACUAUUUGAUCCCAAUGUUUUAGAAAUUGAACGAUUUAGUUCCUGACUUUUACUUCCGUCAAAAUUCAAGGUCCCUCCAUCUAAUUUACAACAUAAUUACUAUUAGUUUAGAGAAAAAGAAUAUUAUACCCUUUAUUUAGUUAAAAUUAGUUAUUAAAACAAUUAAUCAAAUUUUUAUUCCUCACCUAUCUCUCUCCAUUCUCUCAUAUUCUCAAUUUCACAACUCAUUCUACUCUCUCCUUUUUGUCUCUCUCUUUCUCUCCCUCCUUUGUUCAAACAAAUUGCUCCACUCUUUCCACCAUUUUCUACCCCAUGCUGCAUACCCACUAUAGCAGCUUCUGCAGCCUGUGUUGGUGCUGGAGAUGGAACUUCAUUCAUCGGUGGGGCAUUGGUGGAUGUGAUGAAGGUGAGGCAUCGUUUUUUAAUUGGAACUUCAUCAGCGAUGGUCUUGAACGCUGGUGGGGAUUGUCGGGGGUCUUGAAUUGGCUGGUCUUAAAAUGGAAUAGGCGUGGAGUGGGAGGGAGACUUAGAAAAUAUUGAAAUGAGGGUUUUUUAUUUAGCCUGUGGGUUUGUUAUAUUUUGGAUUUUGGUGUAGAUUUGAGAUGAUUUUUGUGCUGAGAAAUGUCAAUGUCGAGCUUCCCCUUUUCAUGCAUUAGCAUCGGGAGGUGGUCUCCUUCAACAACCUCAGUCCAACUCUUGAUCAAUUUUGGUUCAAUCACCUUUGUAAUCUCCACAUCCAUCUUUGUAGAGAAGGGUUUGCAGGUGCUUCUUUAUCCAGCUUGCGGCAAAUUAUUGUUGCUCGAAGGUUAAAUAUGAUCUUACUUGGGCUGGGCAGGAUUGUGCUCGUACAGACAAAUUAGAUGGUGACAGAAGCCAGGCUGGGCAGGAAAGAGUUGUCUUAUGUAUGGUGGAGAGGAGUUGAGGGUGUGUGGAAACAGAGCCAGUGAAGUGCAACUGAUGGGCUAGGAAAUUGCUAAAUUUCUCUACUGUAAUCACCGAGUUUUUCUACUAUAAUUGUCGUGUUUGUGGAAUUGUUGAAAUUAUUGGGUAAUUACUGAAAUUUGUUCUUAUUCUUGUUAAUUUUGAUCUUCUUGUAAUUAUUAAUAUCUUUUGUUUUUGUUAAUGCUAUGUUAAGUUGUUGUUCUUUU